UAACCCCGUUCCUAUCCUGGUCGCCGUGGGUGCCGCUGGGCCGCCUGGCGUUCGGCGUGUACCUGGUACAUGGACUCAUCAUCUACCGCAACACAUACGUCACCAGAAACCUGCUGCAGCUCGACAAACCCACUAUUACAUCAGCCUACCUGGGCGUGACGGUGAUGAGUUUGUUCAUCUCCUACCACCUCUGGCUGCUGGUGGAGGCUCCCGUCAACAACCUGUUCAUGCUCGCCUUCAUACCCAGGCACCUCCUAAAGAAGAUAGAAGCAAGAGAAUUAACCGAAGAGGAUAUCAACCCGAAAGCUAAUGGAAUAACGAAUAACCACAAGCAAAGUAUGACGGACACUGUACCUGACAAACAAGUGUAACUAUAGAUAUUAAAUAUUUUAAAAAUAAAACAAUUUAUUAUACGAAUUUA